UACGGAGGGUGCAAGCGUUAUCCGGAUUCACUGGGUUUAAAGGGUGCGUAGGUGGGUCUGUAAGUCAGUGGUGAAAUCUCCGAGCUUAACUUGGAAACUGCCGUUGAUACUAUAGACCUUGAAUGCUGUGGAGGUGAGCGGAAUAUGUCAUGUAGCGGUGAAAUGCUUAGAUAUGACAUAGAACACCAAUUGCGAAGGCAGCUCACUACCCAGAUAUUGACACUGAGGCACGAAAGCGUGGGGAUCAAACAGG
rnacentral:rRNA from 1 species